CAGGUCGAGAAGGAGAUUGUUGAUUUGGAUUCAUUCGCUCUCUGUCACAAGUCAUAACCAAAUUUGACCUCUCUUUAGCAUUAUCAGCAUUAGCGGUUGUAGAUCAGUUUCACUCCAGUGGUCGAGCUGCACUAUAGUAAAUGACAUACCACACAGGACAUGAUUAGAUCCUGUUACUUUUCUAGAUACACAGGUGCAUGAAUAGAUAGUCAGGCUCCUUCUUAUUACCUGUAUUCUCAUUAAAUACAUGACACACAAGUAGAGCAUUACAUUCGAGUUUUACAUCUCUCAGGCAACUCGGAGGUCAUCACAACCAUCUUUAAGUAUGAGGAAGUUCGUCUGGACUCCUUUAAAACUUGGCCAGAAGAUGCUAAAGCAGACCCCAGCAUGCUUGCAAAGCCAGGGUUAUUUUAUACAGGUGCUGGAGAUGCUGUCCAGUGCUUUCAGUGUGGUGCAAGAUUAAUACAGUGUAAGUUGGAGGACGAUCCUUGGGCAGAGCAUGCUAAACAAAUCCAAGCUGCCAGUUUGCUGCAUGAGAGCAGUCAAAGACAAGAACGAGAGUACAAGCAAAUUAACAACUUCGAAUGAGGUAAUAGUCUCAUCUUAAAGGGAAAACUAACAGUACAGUCAAUCAAAUACAUUUGAUAGACUCUUAAAGAUAAUAAGAACCCAAGAUAGUUGCCUCCCCCUUUACACUGAUGUCUGGCUGCAGGUUGCUCUUGAUACUUUUGGUUGUUCAGAUACAGUAUGUUUCACAUUGUAAUGCAACUGGCUGCGUUGAAUAUUCUGAAAAGUUCUUCUAUCAACCUUUUGCUCAAAAACUUAAAAAACAGGCAGAAGCAACUCAUCUGGAGAACACUGUCUCAAGUGCUUUGAAAGAAACAAACUCAUCCAUCACUGGUAACUAUAGUAAAUUAUGCAUUCAUGCACUUGAACACAUACACACACAAACCUUG